rnacentral:rRNA from 1 species
UAGAGUUUGAUCAUGGCUCAGAGUGAACGCUGGCGGCGUGCUUAACACAUGCAAGUCGAACGAUGAUGAAGAGCUUGCUCUUCUGAUUAGUGGCGCACGGGUGAGUAUACUAUAGUUAAUGUACCCCAAAGACCGGGAUAGCCACUGGAAACGGUGAUUAAUACUGGAUACACCAUAUAGUCAUAAGGCUAUAUGGGAAAUGUCUUUUCGCUUUGGGAUCAGACUAUAUCCUAUCAGCUAGUUGGUGAGGUAAGAGCUCACCAAGGCGAUGACGGGUAGCGGGUUUGAGAGGAUGAUCCGCCACACUGGUACUGAGACACGGACCAGACUCCUACGGGAGGCAGCAGUGAGGAAUAUUGCACAAUGGAGGAAACUCUGAUGCAGCAACGCCGCGUGGAGGAUGACGCAUUUCGGUGUGUAAACUCCUUUUAUUAGGGAAGAAAAUGACGGUACCUAAUGAAUAAGCACCGGCUAACUCCGUGCCAGCAGCCGCGGUAAUACGGAGGGUGCAAGCGUUACUCGGAAUCACUGGGCGUAAAGGACGCGUAGGCGGGUUGGUAAGUCAGAUGUGAAAUCCUACAGCUUAACUGUAGAACUGCAUUUGAAACUACCGACCUAGAGUGUGGGAGGGGGAGAUGGAAUUAGUGGUGUAAGGGGUAAAAUCCGUAGAUAUCACUAGGAAUACCGAAAGCGAAGGCGAUCUCCUGGAACAUAACUGACGCUAAGGCGUGAAAGCGUGGGGAGCAAACAGGAUUAGAUACCCUGGUAGUCCACGCCCUAAACGAUGUUCACUAGUCGUCGGGAUGCUUGUCAUCUCGGUGAUGCACUUAACAGAUUAAGUGAACCGCCUGGGGAGUACGGUCGCAAGAUUAAAACUCAAAGGAAUAGACGGGGACCCGCACAAGUGGUGGAGCAUGUGGUUUAAUUCGAAGAUACGCGAAAAACCUUACCUAGCCUUGACAUUGAUAGAAUCUGCUAGAGAUAGCGGAGUGCCUUUCGGGGAACUUGAAAACAGGUGCUGCACGGCUGUCGUCAGCUCGUGUCGUGAGAUGUUGGGUUAAGUCCCGCAACGAGCGCAACCCUCGUCAUUAGUUGCUACGUAAGAGCACUCUAAUGAGACCGCCGGUGACAAACCGGAGGAAGGUGGGGAUGACGUCAAGUCCUCAUGGCCCUUAUGGGUAGGGCUACACACGUCAUACAAUGGGCGGUACAGAGGGUUGCCAACCCGCGAGGGGGAGCUAAUCCCUUAAAACCGCUCGUAGUCCGGAUUGUAGUCUGCAACUCGACUGCAUGAAGUCGGAAUCGCUAGUAAUCGCGGAUCAGCUUGCCGCGGUGAAUACGUUCCCGGGUCUUGUACACACCGCCCGUCACACCAUGGAAGUGGGGUUUACCAGAAGUAGUUAGCUUAACCGCAAGGAGGGCGAUUACCACGGUAGGCUUCAUGACUGAGGUGAAGUCGUAACAAGGUAGCCGUAUCGGAAGGUGUGGAUGGAUCACCUCCUU